AACGAACGCUGGCGGCAGGCUUAACACAUGCAAGUCGAACGCAUCCUUCGGGGUGAGUGGCAGACGGGUGAGUAACGCGUGGGAACGUGCCCUUCAGUUCGAGAUAACCCAGGGAAACUUGGGCUAAUACCGGAUACGUGCGAGAGCAAAAAGAUUUAUCGCUGAAGGAUCGGCCCGCGUCUGAUUAGCUAGUUGGUGGGGUAAUGGCCCACCAAGGCGACGAUCAGUAGCUGGUCUGAGAGGAUGAUCAGCCACAUUGGGACUGAGACACGGACCAAAGUCCUACGGGAGGCAGAAGUGGGGAAUAUUGGACAAUGGGCGCAAGCCUGAGCCAGCAAUGCCGCGUGAGUGAUGAAGGCCUUAGGGUUGUAAAGCUCUUUCGUCCGGGACGAUAAUGACGGUACCGGAAGAAGAAGCCCCGGAUAACUUCGUGCCAGCCGCCGCAGUAA
rnacentral:rRNA from 1 species